GGCAUUUCAUUGGCAGAUAUUUUUGUGGCUUUUGGCAUCCCAAAGUUGUUACGUGUUUCUGUGUUAUGCAUUAUGACUAUCUGUGGAUCCUGUAAUGAUCCUUAUCUGUUGCAUAAAGAAGCUUCUUGAUGAGAGUUUCUUCAUCAGAACUCUGCUUGAGAAUCAAUCCAUCCUUCCAACCAAAAGCUACACUGGAUGACUUGUCAUCAGCAAUUUAACUCCAAAUCAAUUACAGAUUUUAGUAUAUCUCCACAAAAGAGAAAUGGAGUAGACAAUAGCUGUAGUAGUGUUGUGAACUGCAGGAGCAUGGCAUGCCAACCAAUGCUCAUGUAACUAUCUCUGUGUAGCGCCCUUCGAUACUAUGCAUGCCAGCCAGCAGAGAUUAAACUCCAAGUACAGUUGCA